AUACGUAGGGUGCAAGCGUUAAUCGGAAUUACUGGGCGUAAAGCGUGCGCAGGCGGUUUUGUAAGACAGUGGUGAAAUCCCCGGGGCCAACCUGGGAACUGCCCUUGUGACUGCAAGGCUGGAGUGCGGCAGAGGGGGGUGGAAUUCCGCGUGUAGCAGUGAAAUGCGUAGAUAUGCGGAGGAACACCGAUGGCGAAGGCAAUCCCCUGGGCCUGCACUGACGCUCAUGCACGAAAGCGUGGGGAGCAAACAGGAUUAGAUACCCUGGUAGUCCGCGCCCUAAACGAUGUCAACUGGUUGUUGGGGAUUUAUUUUCUCAGUAACGAAGCCAACGCGUGAAGUUGACCGCCUGGGGAGUACGGCCGCAAGGUUAAAACUCAAAGGAAUUGACGGGG
rnacentral:rRNA from 1 species